AGAGUUUGAUCCUGGCUCAGAUUGAACGCUGGCGGCAUGCUUUACACAUGCAAGUCGAACGGACAUAAGAACUUGCUUCUUUGAUGACGAGUGGCGAACGGGUGAGUAAUGUAUCGGAACGUGCCCAGUAGUGGGGGAUAACUACUCGAAAGAGUGGCUAAUACCGCAUGAGAUCUCUGGAUGAAAGUGGGGGACCGCAAGGCCUCACGCUACUGGAGCGGCCGAUAUCAGAUUAGGUAGUUGGUGGGGUAAAGGCCUACCAAGCCUGCGAUCUGUAGCUGGUCUGAGAGGACGACCAGCCACACUGGGACUGAGACACGGCCCAGACUCCUACGGGAGGCAGCAGUGGGGAAUUUUGGACAAUGGGCGCAAGCCUGAUCCAGCAAUGCCGCGUGCAGGACGAAGGCCUUCGGGUUGUAAACUGCUUUUGUACAGAACGAAAAGGCUCUGGCUAAUACCCGGGGCUCAUGACGGUACCGUAAGAAUAAGCACCGGCUAACUACGUGCCAGCAGCCGCGGUAAUAC
rnacentral:rRNA from 1 species